rnacentral:lncRNA from 1 species
GAAGCAUCUCUACAAUGGCUUAGGAUUGUUGUGUGCUAAUCAGACUUGAGGUAAUUAGACUUGAUGAAUAUUUUAUAGGACUGUUUAGUUCCAUCUAUAAAAUCAUCAAACUAAAUGGAGAGCUCUCUUUUUGUUGGGCAUACUGGUUAGAAAGUUGGGAGAUUGUUGUAUAUAAAAUUGCAUGACUAUGAUGAGAAUGUUCAGAAUCAUAAUUGCAAAUGAAAGAAUCAGGCUUCAUCAGCGUGUGAAAGUUUUUGUAGAUUAAACAACUUGCAGGAUCAUUGGCAGAGUGGGUAUAUGCUUAGCAUGAUUUAUCAACAGUUAUUUGGCAUAAUAAUGAAAUAUAUUUAAUUCCAGCUGAUUCAUAUGAAAGAGCAAAUAAGUAUAUGUGUUGGCCUAAUGUUAUAGAUGGUUUGUACCUGUGAGCCUGGUCGAAUUCAACCUGUUAGAAGUCUGAUGGUUUAUGUGCAAUGUGGGUUGUCUAUUGGUCAAGCUCAAUCAACCCAUAUAUAGCUGGGUUAGGUUACAGAUAGUUGAAUUGCCAUGUCAUUGUCAUAUGGUAGGAGGGGAAGGAUGACAUGCACUGAAAGCAUACACAUGUUGAGUCUUGAGUGAAUUCUCUCUCUCUCUC